AGCUCAUAAUAUGCUUUAGCAAAGAUCAACUAAUAGCAAUAGCUUCUGAGUCAUACAUAUUCCUAGCGAAGUGACCAUGAAAUUGCUUGUUGCUUUAAUCCUGCUCUUUUCACUUGCCCUGUGAAAUACCUUCUUCAUGAUGUCAUCGGACAUUAAUUGCGUGCCUUGAACUUCUUUACAACGAAGUGCUACUUCGACAUGAUUUUGUACACAAGCAGCACUUAUGCAAUAAAAGACCCUGGAGAAUACUGGAGAGCUAUGAUGAAAGAUGAGCCAAUGCCUGAAGCAAUCAAACAUCUUAUGCCUCGGCAUUCAGUUCCUCUCUCCAAAGAGAAAACUGAUUGUUACACAUCAUUUUCUGUUGGAGAUGAAGCCUUUGAACCAAGGCCUAACUAUUUGUCUACCACGACGACGCCAAGUUGGAAGAAGCUGAGAAAUCAUUACUAUUUACGAAAGAUUUCGUGCCAAGGCCUAGUGCAACUGGUUAUAAUGAUAUGACGCUGGUCUUAAACAAGAAAACUCCUUUGCCGAAGAUUUUGAGCCUAGGCUAAAUCUUUCUGUGUACCAUGAUUGAUAUUGCAUAUAAUGUGUAUUAUGUCUCUUUCUGCUUUGUGUUUGUGCUUUUAUGAAAUAAAAGUGUGUAACCAUACUUGAUGGUUGUAUUGAAGUGUUUUUUAAUUUUAUCAUGUGUUCUAAGCAAUGAUCAA